rnacentral:rRNA from 1 species
GUGGGGAAUUUUGGACAAUGGGCGAAAGCCUGAUCCAGCCAUGCCGCGUGCAGGAUGAAGGCCUUCGGGUUGUAAACUGCUUUUGUACGGAACGAAAAGACUCCUUCUAAUAAAGGGGGUCCAUGACGGUACCGUAAGAAUAAGCACCGGCUAACUACGUGCCAGCAGCCGCGGUAAUACGAAGGGUGCGAGCGUUAAUCGGAAUUACUGGGCGUAAAGCGUGCGCAGGCGGCUUUGCAAGACAGAUGUGAAAUCCCCGGGCUCAACCUGGGAACUGCAUUUGUGACUGCAAGGCUAGAGUACGGCAGAGGGGGAUGGAAUUCCGCGUGUAGCAGUGAAAUGCGUAGAUAUGCGGAGGAACACCAAUGGCGAAGGCAAUCCCCUGGGCCUGUACUGACGCUCAUGCACGAAAGCGUGGGGAGCAAACAGGAUUAGAUACCCCUGUAGUCC